AGAGUUUGAUCAUGGCUCAGGACGAACGCUGGCGGCGUGCUUAACACAUGCAAGUCGAACAGAAAGGCCCUUCGGGGUACUCGAGUGGCGAACGGGUGAGUAACACGUGGGUGAUCUGCCCUGCACUUUGGGAUAAGCCUGGGAAACUGGGUCUAAUACCGAAUAGGACCACGCGCUUCAUGGUGUGUGGUGGAAAGCUUUUGCGGUGUGGGAUGGGCCCGCGGCCUAUCAGCUUGUUGGUGGGGUAAUGGCCUACCAAGGCGACGACGGGUAGCCGGCCUGAGAGGGUGACCGGCCACACUGGGACUGAGAUACGGCCCAGACUCCUACGGGAGGCAGCAGUGGGGAAUAUUGCACAAUGGGCGCAAGCCUGAUGCAGCGACGCCGCGUGAGGGAUGACGGCCUUCGGGUUGUAAACCUCUUUCACCAGGGACGAAGCGCAAGUGACGGUACCUGGAGAAGAAGCACCGGCCAACUACGUGCCAGCAGCCGCGGUAAUACGUAGGGUGCGAGCGUUGUCCGGAAUUACUGGGCGUAAAGAGCUCGUAGGUGGUUUGUCGCGUUGUUCGUGAAAACUCACAGCUUAACUGUGGGCGUGCGGGCGAUACGGGCAGACUAGAGUACUGCAGGGGAGACUGGAAUUCCUGGUGUAGCGGUGGAAUGCGCAGAUAUCAGGAGGAACACCGGUGGCGAAGGCGGGUCUCUGGGCAGUAACUGACGCUGAGGAGCGAAAGCGUGGGGAGCGAACAGGAUUAGAUACCCUGGUAGUCCAA
rnacentral:rRNA from 1 species